UGUCCAUUGCUUACCUACUUUGAUUUUUUCUUGCAGCCAAUGUUUCAGCAAACAUACGAAAUUUACUUGACUGCAAAGUUUUGAAGAAAUACAAAGCAGGGAAUCCCGCCAUGCUUGUUCCAAUAGGGAGGAAUGGCGGAGUCGGAGAAAUACCGAAUGGGAUGGUUUUAGGAGAUUUUGCCACGAAGAAGAUAAAAAGUCAAGAUUUGUUUAUUUCACGUCAAUGGAAGAGUAUGAAACAGAGUGCCCCCAAAUAACUUCGUUUGGUUUCACUGAGAAUGUCAGCUGGUCUGGUGCAUCUGAGUGAGUUAACUGCUAUGUAGUGUGUACGAUAUUUUAGUUCUUGCUCUGAGAGUAAAACUAGACUGUUAUGAACUCAUCAAACUGCUGUAAUAUUAUUAUUCCUAAAAAAAAUAAAAAUGUGAAAGAAACAAAAAACAUACGAGGAUGGAACUGAAUUAUUUUGUAGUCUGAGAAAUAUUGUGUGGUAGGAAAGGUGGUAAUGUAGUAUGUACAAAAUACGAAUUUUACAGGAAGUAAGAGACCUACAAAAACAUUAACAAAAGACAACAAACAACAACG